rnacentral:rRNA from 1 species
CACGUAGGGCGCAAGCGUUGUCCGGAAUUAUUGGGCGUAAAGAGCUCGUAGGCGGUCUGUUACGUCUGCUGUGAAAACCCGGGGCUUAACCCUGGGCUUGCAGUGGAUACGGGCAGACUAGAGGCAGGUAGGGGAGAAUGGAAUUCCCGGUGUAGCGGUGAAAUGCGCAGAUAUCGGGGGGAACACCGGUGGCGAAGGCGGUUCUCUGGGCCUGACCUGACGCUGAGGAGCGAAAGCGUGGGGAGCGAACAGG